rnacentral:rRNA from 1 species
GACAGAGGGUGCAAACGUUGCUCGGAAUCACUGGGCGUAAAGGGCGUGUAGGCGGGUAGGUAAGUCGGGCGUGAAAUCCCUGGGCUCAACCCAGGAACUGCACUCGAAACUACUUUUCUUGAGUGCCGGAGAGGAAAGCGGAAUUCCUGGCGUAGAGGUGAAAUUCGUAGAUAUCAGGAGGAACACCAGUGGCGAAGGCGGCUUUCUGGACGGUAACUGACGCUGAGACGCGAAAGCGUGGGGAGCAAACAGG